rnacentral:lncRNA from 1 species
AAUAUAAUGUUGCACAAAAUUUAUUAAGUUUAUGUGUAAGGUAACGCUCAUUUCUUACCAGAAAAAGCGGGUCGUUUACAGUUUUGAUGUUUUGAAUUCAUGAAAAUAGAGUUACAAAAGCUUGUCUAAACGAAGAGUUAAAAUAACAUUACAAAAUUCAGCCUCAGCAUUUGUAUGGUUCAACAGAGGAUGUGGAAAAUCUCAUUGCUCUACAAGUUUCUCACGCAUAAUACAUGGAAACAAAAGAAUCCAAACUAAAGAUAUGAUCACCUGAGGUUGCUGGUAUUCCUUGAAGCCACCAUCAGAUCAUAAAAUGUUUUUUCUGCAGAGAAUUAGACGGAGUUUGAUACCUAAGUCCAUGUUUCUUCUGUAACUUUACAUUGCUUUCCGAGAGGAUGUGCUAGACGUAGAAACUUGGAUCGCCUUUGUAUAUAUGUUCGUAAGGGCAAAGAGUAACAACACAAACACAACCUGUGCACUCAUAGUUCCAAAAUGGCUGAUGCUAUUCCCAAUUUCCAUCCAGCUGCCUGUAUUUCGCANNNNN